rnacentral:lncRNA from 1 species
GUCUAAAUGGGUACUGGAACUUACGGGUUUGAAAGUGUUUCCUAGCCGGAAAUGGUGCAAGAUCGCCGGAAAUAUCACUCUCUGUCGCCGGAGUUACUUGUAGAACGCCGGAAAUCGCCGAAAACUUGGGAGAAAAUUUUGUUUUUUCGUGGCAAAGGUAGAAACUCUGGUAAGCCCCCAAAGUUCACCUUUUAUAGGAAAGACGAAUCCAAUCUCCACCUUUGAAUUCAAAUACGGUCAAUCUAAACCGUCCGUUGUAUUCUCGAUCCCAGCCGUUGAAAUGAAACGCCAGAUGUGAUCUACGCCCAAGAUGUCGCCGUGGCUUUCACGCUAAAAUAAAACGCGUCGCCUCGGUUAACAACAGCCGUCAAUAAUAAUUACUGGCCGCGGCAGCCUUCUAGGGGAAUGGGUGUGGUACCCAACUGUCACCUUGGAAACACGCAACAGUUGUCAAAUCAUUGGACUUCUGGGUCGCCUCGGAUUAUCUCCUCCCCCCACUUUACAAAGCUUGGCCGCAACCGAUGCGAAGGCCCCAGUCGCUAAUCACCUCGGGCGCUGCGUUCCAUCCAUUGCUUUACGAAGUUCUAGCCAUCUCCCCACGCGUCGACCCUUUGUCUGUCAACGCUUCGGCAAGAACGAGUCCCCCAACUUUACAAAGCCUGGGUGCACCCGGUGCAAUUGCCCCGUUUGCUAUCACCUCGGUCGAUGCACCCCCAUCCCAUGCUUUGCAAAGCUUGAGCCGUCUCCCUCUUCCUGGCAACGCUUCGGUAAAGACUAGUCCCUCAAAUUUUUAUAACGCUUUAACAAACCCAAUGCGAGCGUAUCAUUGGCUCAUCGCCUCGGCUCUGCGUCUUUCCAUGCUCUACAAAGUUCGGCUACCCCCAUGCCGCGACCCGGUCAGGAAAACAAAUCCACGAAUAAUAUAAAUAUUCAUUCUCAGAUUUGGGGGACCACUGUUACGCCUCAUUUUACUAGCCUCGGUACCGACGUACCGAAGUGUCAUCUCGCCACUCCGAAUCCGGUGAAAUCAACUAGACCACUCCGAAAUCCCGAAGCCUCCCCCCGAAGUGAUACACCGAUUCCUGUCACUGACGUCCCGUCUUCGAGGUCGGGUUCAAGUGGCUUGAACCCCCGCUAGAAGAUUCACUGCCAAUUUAAGAUUUGCUCUGCAUAUAAGGUUUAAAUUGAUUUGACGUCCCCCAUAAAGCUAUUUGAUGUGACUUAUCAACUUUAUGUCAAUUCAAUUCGGGGGAAACAAACUGUCCGCCCACCCUACAAGCGCGGCUGAUUGACGUCUAUGAGCAGACACUUCAUACCGUCAGAUGUAUACACGUGUUCCACAUCCCACGGUUCAUACCAUCUAUAAAUACCCAAAGAUUGGCCAGAGGCAAAGGUAAUGAAACUCUCAAUAGAUAGCACUCCAUAACAAGUUUAUAUAUUCUCCUCCCCCUUUAUUGACUGAUUGAGUUGUGUAGUCCCUGGACACUGCUCCGACCACCCAAAUCUGACUUGACCGUCGGAGUGUAUACGGCCGCCACCACCGUUGGUUCCGGCCGUGUGCGCCUGACAGUGUGUUCAUUUCGUAGGGAGGAAUACGUGGAGUAGCUACAAGUUGGCCACGUGGAAGAGCCAUUUUUAGAGGUCAACAAUAGACAUAAAAGGA